UACAGAGGGGGCAAGCGUUGUUCGGAAUUACUGGGCGUAAAGGGCGCGUAGACGGCCUUCUAAGUCGAACGUGAAAUCCCUGGGCUCAACCCAGGAACUGCGUCCGAUACUGGAAGGCUUGAAUCCGGGAGAGGGAUGCGGAAUUCCAGGUGUAGCGGUGAAAUGCGUAGAUAUCUGGAGGAACACCGGUGGCGAAGGCGGCAUCCUGGACCGGUAUUGACGCUGAGGCGCGAAAGCCAGGGGAGCAAACGGG
rnacentral:rRNA from 1 species